rnacentral:lncRNA from 1 species
CCGCACCUUAUAUCUUUCAAUGUUUCCAUCAGCGGUAUGUUUGAUUUUAUAUACCCAUUUUACACCAAUAGCUUUAUGUCCCUUAGGUAAUGAAGUCAAUUCUUAAGUUUAUUUUUUUCUAUUGCUCUUAUUUCUUCAUUUAUAGCUGCUCACCAUUCAUCUUUUUUUAUGGCUUUUUCAAUAGUCAAUAGUUCUUGAU